UAGGGAGACCUAAUCCAUUUAGAAAUCGAAAACAAUGAAAAUUGUCAAUAGAAACUAAAUUGGUCUAACCUAGGUCGGUCGCAGACUUGAAGUAAAGCUUUCAAACUAUGAUUUGGUUCGAUAAGGGCUAUUAGCUCAGGUGGUUAGAGCGCACCCCUGAUAAGGGUGAGGUCCCUGGUUCGAGUCCAGGAUGGCCCACCUGAAGAAUUUUAGAUUGGUGAUUUGAGAUUUUAGAUUGAAAAAAAAAUCAAUCCAAAAUCGUCAAUCCAAAAUUUUGUAGGGGGGUUUAGCUCAGUUGGUAGAGCGCCUGCUUUGCAAGCAGGAUGUCAGCGGUUCGAGUCCGCUAACCUCCACAUUGGAAAAAAGACAGCACCUAAUUGUCAAAGUUAGACUGCUGGAUGAAAUUCCAGCCAGAACCUUGAAAACUGCAUAAGAGAACAAGAAAAAGCAGGCAGACACAGACAUUUAGAUGGAUGUGAAAGCAAAAGAAAUUGU
rnacentral:tRNA from 1 species